AGUGAACGCUGGCGGUAGGCCUAACACAUGCAAGUCGAACGGCAGCACAGUAAGAGCUUGCUCUUAUGGGUGGCGAGUGGCGGACGUGUGAGGAAUACAUCGUAAUCUACUUUUUCGUGGGGGAUAACGUAGGGAAACUUACGCUAAUACCGCAUACGACCUACGGGUGAAAGCAGGGGAUCUUCGGACCUUGCGCGAUUGAAUGAGCCGAUGUGGGAUUAGUUAGUUGGCGGGGUAAAGGCCCAGCAAGUCGACGAUCCGUAGCUGGUCUGAGAGGAUGAUCGGCCACACUGGAACGGAGACAGGGACAAGACUCCUGCGGGAGGCAGCAGUGGGGAAUGUUGGGCAAUGGGGGCAAGCCUGAUCCAGCGAUACCGAGUGGGUGAAGAAGGCCUUCGGUUUGUGAAGACCGUUUGUUGGGAAUGAAAAGCAGCAGGUUAAUACCACGCUGUUCUGACGGUAACCAAAGAAUAAGCACCGGCUAACUUCGUG
rnacentral:rRNA from 1 species